CGCUUCAUAGAUGUGUUACUGACCUGUGCUAAACACUAACAGAGAUCACAGAAUCACAGCAUAUUCUGAGCUGAAAGGGACCCACAAGAAUCACCAACUCUUCAGCGAACGGCCCAAACAGGGAUCAAACCCACAACCUUGCUGUUAUUGACGUGCUCCAACAAACUGAGCUAAUACCAGAGGAUAUGCAUCAAGUGAAUCCCGUGCUCCUGAUCCAGUCCUGCCAAUGUCAAUUUCUUGUGCAGCUCUGAUGAUUCUUUUUCUCAGUGUCCUCCUAUCUCCGGCAGAACACAGGUGCUGUGGAAAAUGGGAGCUGAUGAAACUAUCUCAGCCUUGAAUUUGAGGACAGGAUCACUUCUGCAGAGUGUUCCAAGUGCAACAGGAUGGAAGGCAGCUGGAGGCAGAAAUUAGGUGAUAGCAGAAAUCCACUCCUCACAGUUUGAGGCCUUUUAAUUUCUGCAUGUUUGUUCAGGUGGAACCAUUCUCUCAAGAUCCAGAGUAAACAUAUGGAAAAUAACUGCAGAAUUUCAAGAUUUCUCUACAGCCUAAAGAACAGAGCAGUUCAGCAGCUACUUGUUGAUCACUGUUAAUGCACUCAGCAGUUGGUU